rnacentral:rRNA from 1 species
GCUUGUCUCAAAGAUUAAGCCAUGCAUGUCUAAGUGUAAAUACGUCUACACUGUGAAACUGCGAAUGGCUCAUUAAAUCAGUUAUCGUUUAUUUGAUGAUCUCUUGUUACAUGGAUAACCGUAGUAAUUCUAGAGCUAAUACAUGCGUCAAGCCCCGACUCACGAAGGGGUGUAUUUAUUAGAUUCAAAGCCAACCGUGUAAAAAGCGUACCUUGGUGAUUCAUAAUAACUUGUCGAACCGCACGCCCUUGAGGCAGCGGUGAUUCAUUCAAAUUUCUGCCCUAUCAACUUUCGAUGGUAGGUUACGCGCCUACCAUGGUUGCAACGGGUAACGGGGAAUCGGGGUUCGAUUCCGGAGAGGGAGCCUGAGAAACGGCUACCACAUCCAAGGAAGGCAGCAGG